AUGAACUUCCAAGUGCUUCUGCUGGUCUUUGCUGUGGUGAUUGCCACUAACAUCAACUGUCAAGCACAACCUCAGCUAGGAGAUUCAAAUAAAUCUCCAGUGGUCAAACGUCAUGUCAUAUCCAGGCAACAGGGCAAGACAUGUAACUGCAUUGGGAGAAGAAAUGCACUGGAGCAGAACUACUGUCCCUGUGAGCUGCAACGUCAAUAUAGAAUGCUCAGUAAAGAGCAGAAAGAUGUGUGCCUAAAAAAGAGGAUUUCAACAUUUAAAAAAUGCCAACAGUUGACUGGAGGAAACAGGAAGGAGAAAAAAGGCAUCAGUAUGCCGAUUUAACUCACAGUCACUAUACUCACCAACUAUACAUCCCCAUAAUUUUAAACAUGUACUUAUUACAUCGUAUCUUAAGUAGUGUAUACUGAACUAUUUUUGUAUCUCUUAUAUUCAAUAACAUUUAUUCUAGUCAAUGUUCUACAUCCAGGUUUUACAAUUAAGGAAAAAAGUACAUACUGGAAAAAGACUUUAAAAAUAAAGAGAGAAAUUAAUUUGAAGAGUUUACUUUU
ensembl:lncRNA